rnacentral:rRNA from 1 species
CCUACGGGCGGCAGCAGUGGGGACUAUUGCACAAUGGGGGCAACCCUGAUGCAACGACGCCGCGUGAGUGAAGAAGUAUCUCGGUACGUAAAGCUCUAUCAGCAGGGAAGAACAUGACGGUACCUGACUAAGAAGCCCCGGCUAACUACGUGCCAGCAGCCGCGGUAAUACGUAGGGGGCAAGCGUUAACCGGAUUUACUGGGUGUAAAGGGAGCGUAGACGGCAGCGCAAUUCUGGAGUGAAAUCCCGGGGCUUAACCCCGGAUCUGCUUUGGAAACUGUGCGGCUGGAGUGCAGGAGGGGUAAGCGGAAUUCAUAGUGUAGCGGUGAAAUGCGUAGAUAUUAGGAGGAACACCGGUGGCGAAGGCGGCUUACUGGACUGUAACUGACGUUGAGGCACGAAAGCGUGGGGAUCAAACAGGAUUAGAUACCCCAGUAGUC